UACAGAGGUCUCAAGCGUUGUUCGGAUUCAUUGGGCGUAAAGGGUGCGUAGGUGGCGGGGCAAGUCAGGUGUGAAAUCUCGGGGCUCAACCCCGAAACUGCACUUGAUACUGCCUUGCUCGAGUACUGGAGAGGAGACUGGAAUUUACGGUGUAGCAGUGAAAUGCGUAGAUAUCGUAAGGAACACCGGUGGCGAAAGCGGCGCGCUGGAUCUCUUCUGACGCUGAUGCGCGAAAGCCAGGGGAGCAAACGGG
rnacentral:rRNA from 1 species